rnacentral:rRNA from 1 species
UACGUAGGGCGCAAGCGUUGUCCGGAAUUAUUGGGCGUAAAGAGCUCGUAGGCGGUCUGUUGCGUCCGCUGUGAAAACUCGGGGCUUAACCCCCGAGCCUGCAGUGGAUACGGGCAGACUAGAGGUAGGUAGGGGAGAAUGGAAUUCCCGGUGUAGCGGUGAAAUGCGCAGAUAUCGGGAGGAACACCGGUGGCGAAGGCGGUUCUCUGGGCCUUACCUGACGCUGAGGAGCGAAAGCGUGGGGAGCGAACAGG